rnacentral:rRNA from 1 species
AUACGGAGGGUGCAAGCGUUAAUCGGAAUUACUGGGCGUAAAGCGCAUGUAGGCGGCUUAAUAAGUCGAGCGUGAAAAUGCGGGGCUCAACCCCGUAUGGCGCUGGAAAUUGUUAGGCUUGAGUGCAGGAGAGGAAAGGGGAAUUCCCAGUGUAGCGGUGAAAUGCGUAGAUAUUGGGAGGAACACCAGUGGCGAAGGCGCCUUUCUGGACUGUGUCUGACGCUGAGAUGCGAAAGCCAGGGUAGCGAACGGGAUUAGAUACCCCGGUAGUCCUGGCCGUAAACGAUGGGUACUAGGUGUAGGAGGUAUCGACCCCUUCUGUGCCGGAGUUAACGCAAUAAGUACCCCGCCUGGGGAGUACGGCCGCAAGGUUGAA